UGGAACAUGCAAAGCCCCUGCAGAGUCCUGGGCUGCCUUUGCUGCAGGGCAGGGGUCCGGGAAGGCUUUGACAGGAAGAGGCAGCUGGAGAAGUGUCAUCACUGGGGAGCCAGGAGGGUGCAGGGCCAGAGUGCAGGGAGCAGGUGAGGAGCGCUUUGGAUAAGGGGUUUCCUGGCCAAGGUGAACUGAGAUCCCGGGGCAUCCCAUGUGUGAUCAGCAGCUCAGCAGAGCCAGGGCCAGAAGGCCAGGGGAAGGAGAAGCUGACAGCCUCCCUGGUCACCUCCGAAGUCCCAGCAACAGCCUGGGAGACUCUCAGGCCAACGCUGGACCCUCAUAAACCUUUAGCCUACCACAGCAUUUCCUGCCCAAUAAAAGGUCUGUUCCUGCACCACCCAGGGUGAGAGACUGCCAGGAGGGCACCAAGAGCUUCAAGAUCUGCUCCUGGUGCCCCACCUCUCCCCCUCAGUGUUGUCACAGGCAGAGGGAGGGACCAGCAGGGACUGGGCCUGAGAGCAGUGACAGAGGCCCAGGCAGGGCAGGUGUGGGCAGAGCUGGUGUGCAGGCACAGAGGAGCUGGAGAGAGGCCACUGAGAGCGGGCCUGGCCAUGUAGAGUGCCCUGUGCGUGGGCUUCUUGCCCAUUGUAGCAGUCACUGGGCAGGUGACCUUGGAGCAGUUCCAAAGGAAGUGACCGUUCAAAAGGGAGAUGAAUUCACCUUCCACUGCAGCAUGAAGGAAGGUGAUAUGAGCAGGUACUACAUGCACUGGUACUGUCAGGACUCACUGGACACUUUGGAAUGGAUUUAAAAGGAGGGUGAUAAAUGUGGAGAAGGUUUCCGAGAUCACUUUAUGGGAAGGAAGGAUAGCUCCAAGAACAGCUUCACAUUACAGAUCCUGGUAGCAGAGCAAGGUGAUGCAGCAACGUAUUACUGUGGAGCAGGCUCACCCUGGAGCAGCUCUGCAGCAGAGUGAACCAAAACCCAGCAGAUGGGGAAGAUAGAUCUCUCUGCACUUCUUUCUGGCAGCUGCUAGCCAGGGCUCCUGUCAGGCAAUGGCAGGUGCAGGAAACGUCCCUCUGGCUGGGUGGCACUAAAAGGCACUGCAGGGAGGGCUGCUGGAAGGGAUGGUGCCAUUGAUGGUGCAGGAGGAUCUGUCCUGGGAACUGCAGAGGCUGCAGUUUGGGGAAAUGCAGGUUUGGUGCACGUUGCCUGGGCUCCUGUCCAGCACAGCCUCAUUUCUCCUCAGUGCCUUGGCUGCAGAGCCAUGGGAUGAUGGGGAUGUGUUACUGGAGCUUUCAGAGGACUGGAACUUAAAGGCAACAAAAUAGAGAAAAAUUCCCUUAGAGAACGUAGUGGAAAAAUCCUAACUUCCACCAACUGUUAAAGUUGAAAACAUGCAUCAUUAUUGUAGGAUUAGGAAAAUGCUCAACACUUGCAGGCUACCAUGAAUUAUAUUAUUAAGAUAACAAUCAAAUUAAAAGCCAACUUCAGUCAACUAUAACAACAGGAAACAGAGUCAAUUAAAGCACCAUCAGGUGAACCAAAAUAAAAAUCAUAAUAAAUAAAUAAAAUAACCAUAAUAAAUCCUGAACAAUCCUUAAA